rnacentral:rRNA from 1 species
UACGAGUGCCCCGAGCGUUAUCCGGAAUCAUUGGGCGUAAAGGGUGCGUAGGCGGCGCGGUAAGUCGGGUGUGAAAUCUCGGAGCUUAACUCCGAAACUGCAUUCGAUACUGCCGUGCUUGAGGACUGGAGAGGAGACUGGAAUUUACGGUGUAGCGGUGAAAUGCGUAGAUAUCGUAAGGAAGACCAGUGGCGAAGGCGGGUCUCUGGACAGUUCCUGACGCUGAUGCACGAAGGCCAGGGGAGCAAACGGG